CCCAGUGGCACCAAGGAACAAAAUGUAGGGAAGUAGGGAAGUAUCAAAGGUCCCACUGAAACUUCGACAGUGGGAGACCUGGUGAGUUCUGCAACCCAAAAAGGCCUGGACAUCCUUGGAAAACAACAGGGGUGGAUCCUUUCCAUGGUAAAGAAAAACCAAUUCAUAGCAUCCAGCCAAGUGAAGAACGCUCUCCAGGAUGUAGGUAUAUUAUUAUCCAAGUCUACCAUAAUGAGAAGACUUCACAAGAGCAAAUACAGUGGGUUCACAAAAAGGUGCAAAAUUCAUAAGACUCAAGAAUAGAAAGG